AUUGAACGCUGGCGGCAUGCUUUACACAUGCAAGUCGAACGGUAACAGGGAGCUUGCUCCGCUGACGAGUGGCGAACGGGUGAGUAAUGCAUCGGAACGUACCGUGUAAUGGGGGAUAACGUAGCGAAAGUUACGCUAAUACCGCAUACGCCCUGAGGGGGAAAGUGGGGGACCGCAAGGCCUCACGUUAUACGAGCGGCCGAUGUCGGAUUAGCUAGUUGGUGGGGUAAAGGCCUACCAAGGCGACGAUCCGUAGCGGGUCUGAGAGGAUGAUCCGCCACACUGGGACUGAGACACGGCCCAGACUCCUACGGGAGGCAGCAGUGGGGAAUUUUGGAUAAUGGGGGCAACCCUGAUCCAGCCAUGCCGCGUGAGUGAAGAAGGCCUUCGGGUUGUAAAGCUCUUUCAGGUGGAAAGAAAUCUCUUGGGCAAAUACCCUGGGAGGAUGACGGUACCAUCAGAAGAAGCACCGGCUAACUACGUGCCAGCAGCCGCAGUAAGAC
rnacentral:rRNA from 1 species